AAUCAACGCUGGCGGCGCGCUUAACACAUGCAAGUCGAGCGAGAAAGGGGAGCAAUCCCUGAGUACAGCGGCGUACGGGUGAGUAACACGUGGAUAAUCUACCUUCUAGUGGGGAAUAACCCUGGGAAACCGGGGCUAAUACCGCAUAAGCCUGUAAAGGGAAAGCAGCAAUGCGCUGGAAGAGGAGUCCGCGGCCGAUUAGCUAGUUGGUGAGGUAACGGCCCACCAAGGCGACGAUCGGUAGCCGGCCUGAGAGGGCACACGGCCACACUGGCACUGAAACACGGGCCAGACUCCUACGGGAGGCAGCAGUGGGGAAUCUUGCACAAUGGAGGCAACUCUGAUGCAGCGACGCCGCGUGAGCGAUG
rnacentral:rRNA from 1 species